AGUGAACGCUGGCGGUAGGCCUAACACAUGCAAGUCGAACGGCAGCACAGUAAUAGCUUGCUCUUACGGGUGGCGAGUGGCGAACGGGUGAUAAAUACAUCGGAAUUUACUUUUUCGUGGGGGAUAACGUAGGGAAAAAUACGCUAAUACCGCAUACGACCUACGGGUGAAAGCAGGGGACCUUCCGACCUUGCGCGAGUGAAUGAGCCGAUGUCGGAUUAGCUAGUUGGAGGGGUAAAGGCCCACCAAGGCGACGAUCCGUAGCUGGUCUGAGAGGAUGAUCAGUCACACUGGAACUGAGACACGGUCCAGACUCCUACGGGAGGCAGCAGUGGGGAAUAUUGGACAAUGGGCGCAAGCCUGAUCCAGCCAUACCGCGUGUGUGAAGAAGGCCUUCGGGUUGUAAAGCACUUUUGUUGGGAAAGAAAAGCAGUAGGUUAAUACCCUGCUGUUCUGACGGUACCCAAAGAAUAAGCACCGGCUAACUUCGUG
rnacentral:rRNA from 1 species